rnacentral:rRNA from 1 species
UACGUAGGGUGCGAGCGUUAAUCGGAAUUACUGGGCGUAAAGCGUGCGCAGGCGGUCUUGUAAGACAGUCGUGAAAGCCCCGGGCUUAACCUGGGAACUGCGAUUGUGACUGCAAGGCUAGAGUGUGUCAGAGGGGGGUGGAAUUCCACGUGUAGCAGUGAAAUGCGUAGAGAUGUGGAGGAACACCGAUGGCGAAGGCAGCCCCCUGGGAUGACACUGACGCUCAUGCACGAAAGCGUGGGGAGCAAACAGGAUUAGAUACCCUUGUAGUCC